GCGCGAAAACUUUACAAUGCUGGCAACAGCGAUAAGGGAACCUCGAGUGCCAGGUUACAAAUCUGGCUGUCGAGAUGCCUAAAAAGCAUUUCAUAGCAAGGGCCGGGCAAGACCGGUGCCAGCCGCCGCGGUAACACCGGCGGCUCGAGUGGUAACCGUUAUUAUUGGGUCUAAAGGGUCUGUAGCCGGCCGGAUAAGUCUCUUGGGAAAUCUGGCAGCUCAACUGACAGGCUUUCAGGAGAUACUGUCUGGCUCGAGGCCGGGAGAGGUGAGAGGUACUUCAGGGGUAGGGGUGAAAUCUUGUAAUCCUUGAAGGACCACCAGUGGCGAAGGCGUCUCACCAGAACGGACCUGACGGCAAGGGACGAAAGCUAGGGGCACGAACCG
rnacentral:rRNA from 1 species